AUUGAACGCUGGCGGCAGGCUUAACACAUGCAAGUCGAGCGGAGAUGAGGUGCUUGCACCUUAUCUUAGCGGCGGACGGGUGAGUAAUGCUUAGGAAUCUGCCUAUUAGUGGGGGACAACAUUCCGAAAGGAAUGCUAAUACCGCAUACGUCCUACGGGAGAAAGCAGGGGAUCUUCGGACCUUGCGCUAAUAGAUGAGCCUAAGUCGGAUUAGCUAGUUGGUGGGGUAAAGGCCUACCAAGGCGACGAUCUGUAGCGGGUCUGAGAGGAUGAUCCGCCACACUGGGACUGAGACACGGCCCAGACUCCGACGGGAGGCAGCAGUGGGGAAUAUUGGACAAGGGGGGGAACCCUGAUCCAGCCAUGCCGCGUGUGUGAAGAAGGCCUUAUGGUUGUAAAGCACUUUAAGCGAGGAGGAGGCUACUGAGACUAAUACUCUUGGAUAGUGGACGUUACUCGCAGAAUAAGCACCGGCUAACUCUGUGCCAGCAGCCGCCGUAAGAC
rnacentral:rRNA from 1 species